AGUUCUGCAGGUGCACUUUAUGGCCCAUUCUCUACCAUGGUUCUUGCUCCUCCUUGGUCUUUUCAUAGGGUCAGGAACACUGGGAGAGGACACAGUGGGGAAGAUAUCCUUGGGGAGUUGGCCACUCGGCCACUGGAGGUCCCAGCAGAGCAAGAGGUAGAAAGUGUUACGUGGAGCUCUUGAGAGCGUGUUGCUGUUUUACAACAAGGAUGAAUAGGCAAACCAGUUCUGGUUCCUGAGACUCAGGGACCCUACAGUGGAUGACUGAACAUUCCCCACCACAGCUACUCUCUUCAGAUCAGCCCCCUGAGGCUGCAGGACUAUAAGCCUAUAAGCCUGGGUAACUCUGCAUACUUCCUCAAUCAUUAUCACCAGGGAUUUCACCCUGCUUGUCUAUGAGAUGCUGUAGGAGUUGAACAUCUUUGCCAGCUCCCAGAUCAUGAAGGAUGGGACUUGCUUCAUCACCCUGGCCUGCUCCCUGGAACAGGCUGGAGAGAAUGUGCAGAACAGCUGGGAGCCUCCUAGUCAUGGGGCAGUUGUGUCCCAUGGGGGGACCACUCUCAGUGUCCCCUGGAUAUCUGGGGAAAGUGAGAGCUAUCACUGCACUGCCAGGAACCCCACCAGCCAGAGCUCCAGCUCUGUCCUUACCAGACCCCUUUGCUCAGGUAAUGUUUUUCCUUCUCUGACUCUCUUCUUCCUGGCAAGCCUUGGUCUAGUUUCUUAGCAUCCCUGCCUCUCUUCCUCUUGGAUCCAGGAGCAAUUGAAGAAAGGGAGGAGCCAGAUUAGUUGGCAGCAGGAAGUGUCUCUGGGGUGGCAGGAGACAAGGGCUCUGGAGCCACCAUCCCAGGGCCCGCUUCGGUCCACCUUUUCUCUAUUGGCCUCGGUCCUCUGUGCAUGACCUGCUGCAGACUCAGCGAGGCAUUCAGCUCAUUCUUGGGACUCCCUGAGGAAAAGUGCUGCCUCACCCACACUCAACCCUGCACAGCCCACUGAGGAGAGCUUCAAAACCCCUUGCCUGUGUUCUCAGAGAGGACUUACCACCUCCCCUUGCCUAGAGGUGCUCUGAGAGACACUUGAGGCUGUGCUCUUCCGGCAGGCAAGGGGAGGCCUCUCAUGGCGUCCCUGGUCCCAUUUGGCUUAGUCAUAGGUCAUGGCUGGAAACUGUGUUAGUCCAAACAUAUCCUGUCUCUCCUCUUCUCAGUUGCCUUCUGAAACAGCUGUCUUUCCUGACUCCAGAUCUUCAAUCAUUCAUUCUCCACCCACUUGCUGCUGAUUUGCCCCUCCAGCUACAUCCUGAUGGAUAAAUUCAUUGGCCACUUUUAAAUUCUGUUAUCCUUGGCUUCUCCCAGCACUUGACACAUUAACCUGCUCUCCUUUGUCACCUGGGCUGCUCUCUCCUGGGACAUCUUCCCUUGGAUCAGGAUCCUUCUCAAGACUGGUGCCUCAGGCCUUUCUCCACUCCCCUUGUUUUCUUUCUGUUGCCAAAGGCAGAAAUGCCAGUGUCAUUUAGGGCCCCUCCUCUUCCCCACCACAUCCUGCCAUUGCUCACCCUUUCCCUUUAUUCCUUGCCUGGACCACUCCACAGACUCCUAACCACUCCUUCCUUCCUUAAUCUUUUCCUUCCCAAUCAUCUUCCAGAUUGCACUGCCAGAGGUCUAAUUCUAAGUUAAGAAAUGCUUGUGUUACUUUUCAGCUUAAAACCUUAGGACAUGAGAGGGAAUGUGGAAGUGUUGAUUAAAGGGUAAUAGUUUCAGACAGACAGGAGGAAUAGGUUUUGAGAUCUAUUGCACAGAAGGCGACCAUGGUCAAUAAUAAUGUAUUAUACAGUUCAAAAUAGCUGAGGGAGUACAUUUCAAAUGUCUCACCGUAAAAAAUGGUAGGUGAGUGAAGAUAUGUUAAUUAAUUUGAUUUAAUCAUGCCACAUUGUAUACAUGAUCAAAAAUCACCUUGUUCACCAUAAAUGCAUGCUGCUGUGAUUUGUCAAUCAAAAAUAGUAAAUAUUUUAAAAACUAAAAAAAAGCCCUAUGAUGUCUGCCCACUAUCUAAGGUAUUUUAACAAUUAUUCAUUCAUUUAAGCCACAAGUAUUUACUGAGUAUCUUUUAUGAACCCUGUGCUGUUCUAACUGUUGUAGAUACAAUGAAGAAGAGGUCCAGAUAAAUUUCUACCCCUCAUGUAAAUCACUGUUACAAUCAUCACAACCUGCACCUGACUAGCUUUUUGGCCAUUUCGUCUUCCAGUCAGCCCUGGGAAAUGACUUUGGGAGAGUUCUGUAUUUUGUUGUACAAAGACAACAUUGAAUGUGUUCUAUUAUGGGCUUUUUGUGUCUGUGCUCUCCAUUGAACUGUGAGAAAAACACAUUCCUACUGUUCUCUGCAUCUCUAAUACACAACAAGUAACAGGUGUCAAAAAAUGUGAGUCUGACAAGUAUUUAAAAAGCAUCUGCGCUGGGUGUUAUGGGACACAUGGAGACAUGAUAAUUGGCUGUAGACGUUCACAGUCUCCCUCUCUCUCUACGGGGCCUGAUGGACAUUUCAGUUCCGCCCCCACAUUCGGCUACCUGAAGGGGCCUCCAGCCCACCCAUGCCUCUGACUUGUCUUCCUUCAAAAUCAUUUUCCCUGUUUCUCUGUCUUCCUGUCUUCCUGUCUUCCUUUUCUCCCAAUUCCUAACUUGUGGUCAUUGUUCAUUCAGCCUCCUUUGUACCCCACUCCCUGAGGAAAGAAUUUCUUCCUUUUUUGAUUCUGGGAGUUUUGGGGAUUGAAUAGAUUUCACCUGGACAUGGGGAGAAACCAAGAAGAGAAGUAUGAGAUGGCGGCCCUCCUGUGAGACAGAGUUAAAGAAGUUCGCAUGUGGAGUGCUGCCUGAGGUCAGCAUUUCCUGGUGUGAGAGAAGGACAUUGACACUGAUUAAGGCAUAAACCCUAUUUCAUUUACAAACUGAGUUCAAAAUUAUCAGGAAACUGCUAUGUGUCUUCUGUUUAAAAUAAUCUGUUUAUGUUUUGUUGAAGUGUGUUUUUAAGUGUUCAGAAAGAAAAAGGAGCUUAUUUAUUUAAGAAAAAUUAAAUGGAACAUAAAAACAUUGUUAUUGUCACACAUAUAUAUUAUUAAGUUUUUGUUAAUGUUUAAAUAACUAGAUUCAGCCUAGCUUCAGCUUGAAUGUCAUCUCCUUGGAGCAGCCUUUGGCCACUAUACUUAAGUAGAUCUUUCCUCUCAUUCAUAAUCAAUGUAUGUUUAAAAAAAUAAUCUGGAGUCUGUUAGGCUGAGACGGCCCUAGCAAUCUGGGAUUCUACACAAGCAAACAGAAAACCAACUCAGAAUAACUUAACCAGUUGGAAACCACCAGGUAAUCUCUAAAUGGGGAAUUCCAUUUAAGCCAUCAAAUAUUUUCUUCUCUUCUUUUUAUUUUGCAUAGAGACAGGAUCUAACUCUGUUGCUCAGGCUUGUCUCAAACUCCUGGCCUCAAGUGGUCUUCUCACCUUGGCCUCCCAAGGUGCAGAGAUUACAGGCACAGACCACCAUGCCUGGCACACUUAUUUGUUGGUUUACUUAUUUACUGUUUAUUUCCCUCACAAGAUAUUCAGCUCUAUGAGGAUAAGAACUAUUUCUAUAUAUAUUUUUUCACAACUAAAAACCCAAAGGGUAAUAGUGUUUGGCUUAUGAUAGAUACUUCAACAUUUACUGAAUGAAUGAAAGAAUGAAUUGGAGUUGAGAAUAUUUUUUCUUAAGAUUUGAAGACUAUUAGGAGGUUUUACAAGGAUCUGGGGCCUACACCAUUGUCUGUUUUCUCUUUCUGCUUUUGAUGGAAAGAAGCAGCAAAUUAAAUCUUCAUCCUAAAAGUUUCCUAGAAUGCUCAACAGUUAGCAAAAGAAAAAGUUAAAAUAAAAGAAACAUUUAUGUUUUGUUUUGACAGCAA